GAAACAUUAAUAUAUAAAAAGAGCUACAGGCAUUUUUUUAUACAUUUGCGCGAUAUUUUAAAUACAUUUUAGCGACGUAGUACUGUCUUCGGAAAUAUUUUUCUCUUUAAAAGUUGUGAUGUACUGAACUUUGAUUUCUGCAAUAUCAUUGGUACAAAUAGUGUUCUAUAUAACAUACUUUUGCUAUAGUGUCCGACUGUUAGACUUAGACAGUAAAUUCAGGUAUAGAAAAACUCAAAACUAACAAUUCAAAUAUUAUGUAUUUAAAUGACUUCGGUUAUAAGAAACCGAAC